rnacentral:rRNA from 1 species
CACGUAGGGGGCAAGCGUUGUCCGGAUUUAUUGGGCGUAAAGAGCUCGUAGGCUGUUCGAUAAGUCGGGUGUGAAACCUCCAGGCUCAACCUGGAGACGCCACCCGAUACUGUCAUGACUAGAGUCCGGUAGGGGAGCGUGGAAUUCCUGGUGUAGCGGCGAAAUGCGCAGAUAUCAGGAGGAACACCAGCGGCGAAGGCGGCGCUCUGGGCCGGUACUGACGCUGAGGAGCGAAAGCGUGGGGAGCAAACAGG